rnacentral:lncRNA from 1 species
UAAAUCCUAAUAUAAAACUUUGCAUUUGUCCCUAUAAGGUUUUAUCUUUAUGAAUUCUAACCUGUUGAGAUCUUUUCAAGUUGCAAAUCUAUUAUCCAAUCCAGCCAUUUCAUCUACUGUUGUGAUUGAUGCCUUCACAUUCAACCCAUUAAUUAAAAUGGUACAAGAUGACAGGUUGAUCAGGAAAUGGCUUCUUUCAUUAGUUGAGGACCAUGGCUGAAAGGAUCUCUUGUCUCUUUCAGAGUCUAGCAGACUACACUCCCCCAACCUGUACCCUGCAGAGCCACUCAUUGGGGACCGGUGAAAGUAGCCAUGGUGAGAUUUUGGAUGGAAAAAUACAAUAUUUUGAUAAAGUCUCUUGCCACAGCAUCCAUGUGUUCCUUUGGAACACACCAAAGGUUAGUAGAAUCUUGUAAAUAGAGGAUAAUGAGACAUAUGGGAAGGAG